UACGAAGGGGGCAAGCGUUGUUCGGAAUUACUGGGCGUAAAGGGCGCGUAGGCGGCUUAUCAAGUCAGGCGUGAAAUUCCCGGGCUCAACCUGGGGGCUGCGCUUGAUACUGAUGAGCUUGAAUGCGGGAGAGGAUAGUGGAAUUCCCAGUGUAGAGGUGAAAUUCGUAGAUAUUGGGAAGAACACCGGUGGCGAAGGCGGCCUUCUGGACAGUGACUGACGCUGAGACGCGAAAGCGUGGGGAGCAAACAGG
rnacentral:rRNA from 1 species